UUGAUUGGUCAACGCAGGUUUUCAGGACUGGCGAAACGCGUAUCCACGGGUUAAUGCACGAAACGUUGUUGACCAUAAAGCCAACCUAACGUACGCUAAAUUCAAACGUUCGAUUGAAUAUGUUGCGGGGUGGUUCCGGACCUAGCUGGCCCAGCGUUUCGGCCACCGACUUUUGUUGCAACGGCGAGGCUCAAUGGCUUCGUGAUGAAGCUAGUGGUGAAGAUAUUCCUGAAGCUAGGGAUUUGGAACAGGGCAUGGACCUACCGGUGUCUGUCUCCCCAUCACAUCUAGACUUCUACGUAGAUGAGAAGAAUGGAGACACACUGCUGCUCUCGUUGUUCAAUGUCAGUCAACAGACGGUAUACUUUCAGUUGAUGUCGAACGAACCAGCACGGUAUGGAUUCACGGGGCGAUCAGGCAUCAUCACAGCCCAUUGCUACAGCGAAAUAGAGGUGCACUACUUUGGUCUCUCCGAGGAACAUGUGGGCACCAGGGACAACCUGCGCAUUGUCUUGUGUGAGCAAGAGGACCGCAUCCUGGGAUUCGUGGAUGUGCCUGUCAACGUGUGGCCUAAGCGUGGCAGGUCUGAUGAUGAGAGCGAGGAGGAGGCUCCAGCAGCUGUUUUGCCGAGAGGUUCCACCCACACCCAGCAGCUGCCAAGGCAAGAUUGGAACAACAGCUGGGCGCUAUCUGGUCACCUGCCACUUCUGAUGUUUGUGGUGCUGGUCUGUGUUGUAGCCCUUCUGCUGCCACUCAAGGGUACACUUGAUGCCAGCAGCCACCCACUGUUGGCAUACUUCUCUCUAAGCCACAAGCUCAAGCUAGUCGCUGCAUACAUCCUUGAGCCCGACCACGCCGCCUGACACACUUGGCCGACAACAGUUGCGGCUGCGGCUGGCUCUACUCGGCUCGCACACACGCUUGCUGGCUUGAGCACUGGAGCCAUGGUGAUGCCACAAAAACGAGGUGCAUGACCAUGCUCAUCGUCACUUAGAAAAGUCUGCGAUGCCCAACUGGACAAUCCUGAAGUAUACAAGUCUAUGGUCAAGAAAGGUUCCAUGUGAAGUUGUGUGACCCGGUCGUCCUGGUGAUGUUUUGUUUUCUUCAAAUAAAGUGUGCCUGAUAUA
rnacentral:misc_RNA from 1 species